AUGCAGUAUAAGUCAAGAAUAGUAAAGAAAGAGAUCUAUGGAAUGAAAGGAAUGAAUUUCUUGCCAUGGUUGUUGGGGAUAAAAUUGCGUAUUUUACUGGGGAGAAAAAAGAAAUAG